CGAGGGAAGGUCGGGGAAGCCCCAGGCGGUUCUCCGCACUCAACCGGGAGGCCCCGGGAUUGUUCCGGCGCGAGUUCAGAAACGAAGAGGACGAAGAUCUCAUGGUCGUGUUUAGUUUGUUGGGUUGGGGCGGUGCGAUUGGUGUUGGCGAUGCGAUGUACUAGUAGUUGUUGUUACUAGUACA
rnacentral:ribozyme from 18 species